UGCCACAAAAAUAGACAAGCAGGGCAUGUGCGCUGAAGCUGGAAGAGGCUUCUUCUAUAUUUUCAUUGCAAAAUCAGAACUUUGUUGGUAUUUGAGAUGUUAAGAAUGGAAACGCUGAUCCCCUCAGACCCGCUUUGCAGAUAACCCUGCAUUUUACCGAGAUGUCAAAGCAGGAAGUGCUUGGCUGGAACAUCUGCCGACAGCCUCAUCUCUUUCUGCAAGAUCAUGAUGUUCUGCAUGCUCCUGUGGCCUCUUAUUUCACGUUGCUCUCCCAGCACAUUUUGAAACAACUUUAAAGAUGAAUAAAAAGCAGCUCAGCAAGUGAAUCCCAGAUCCCGGUAAGAGAGUGUCUCCCCCAACUCACAUAGUGAGUGCACAUCAUCCCCAGAACCACCGUGAGAGUGAGCCUGGUAGCGGGUAGCACCCUGCCUGUGACAAAGCCAGCACACUAUGACGAGCAGCAGCUUCUAGACCCGUGGACCACGGGCACUGCCAACGCUCUCCCUCCGGGGACUCCUCCUGCCUCCCAUACAGGGCCAAACUCUGAUGCCCACGAGCUCGCUCAGAAUUGGCUCAGGCUGCAAUCACUUCUCUUCUCCUACCUCCACACCAUACCCUGAUGGUGGACAGCUUCUCCUUUGAGAACCACACCUGCCUUUUCAGACAAAAGGAGACACCACCCACCCUCCUGCUGAGGGCUGCUCCCCUGGGGCCUUCUCAGCACACCUCUCUCUCUCUAGGUCAAAAAACAAACUUCACAUGCUGAACUUUUACCUUUUUUAAAGUGACUCCGAAUUUUGGCACCAGCAAUUAAUUCAACACUUGAAUAAGAUUUGAAAACCUC
rnacentral:lncRNA from 1 species